rnacentral:rRNA from 1 species
GGAUUGCCUCAGUAGCGGCGAGUGAAGCGGCAAAAGCUCAAAUUUGAAAUCUGGCGUCUUUGGCGUCCGAGUUGUAAUUUGAAGAAGGUAUCUUUGGGCCCGGCUCUUGUCUAUGUUCCUUGGAACAGGACGUCACAGAGGGUGAGAAUCCCGUGCGAUGAGAUGACCCGGGUCUGUGUAAAGUUCCUUCGACGAGUCGAGUUGUUUGGGAAUGCAGCUCUAAGUGGGUGGUAAAUUCCAUCUAAAGCUAAAUAUUGGCGAGAGACCGAUAGCGAACAAGUACAGUGAUGGAAAGAUGAAAAGAACUUUGAAAAGAGAGUGAAAAAGUACGUGAAAUUGUUGAAAGGGAAGGGCUUGAGAUCAGACUUGGUAUUUUGCAUGCUGCUCUCUCGGGGGCGGCCGCUGCGGUUUACCGGGCCAGCAUCGGUUUGGAGCGGCAGGAUAAUGGCGGAGGAAUGUGGCACGGCUUCUGCUGUGUGUUAUAGCCUCUGACGAUGCUGCCAGCCUAGACCGAGGACUGCGGUUUUUAACCUAGGAUGUUGGCAUAAUGAUCUUAAGUCGCCCGUCUUGAAACACGGACCAAGGAGUCUAACGUCUAUGCGAGUGUUUGGGUGUAAAACCCGUACGCGUAAUGAAAGUGAACGAAGGUGGGGGCCCAUUAGGGUGCACCAUCGACCGAUCCUGAUGUGUUCGGAUGGAUUUGAGUAAGAGCAUAGCUGUUGGGACCCGAAAGAUGGUGAACUAUGCCUGAAUAGGGUGAAGCCAGAGGAAACUCUGGUGGAGGCUCGUAGCGGUUCUGACGUGCAAAUCGAUCGUCGAAUUUGGGUAUA